GGCGCUUGCAAACCGAGACACAGCACAAGCCCGCGGCGUACAUUCUACCGUCCGAAUUGAUAGUCUGCAGAUUGGUACGAUGAAGCAAAUAAUAUUCACAUUCUUCCUCAUCGGAUGCGUCGCUUUCUGUGCUUCCUCUUCCGAGCCUGAAGAGGGCCAGCAGAUAUUAGACCUCGCAAAUGACCAGUCGCGGAGCCUAGGCGUGGAAGCUAUCCAAGUGGGCGAGGUGCUCCGUGCCAUUUCCCAAAAGAUCCGGGAUGAUCUGCAACAACCAGAGCAAGCAGAGC